GCCAGAGUAAAACUAUUCGAAUAGCCGUGCCCGCGGUUAUGGGCGGGUUGAGCAAUGUUUUUCGUGAUUAGUCUCACACCUCUCACAAAUAAUUAUUGAUGCAAUAACUGGUAAUAAUUUGUUUAGCUCUUGGUUUAGAGUUAGAUCUGUACAGCCGGGUAUGGUUGUUCAGGAUGGUUGGGCCUGUGCAGCAUUGGGGU
rnacentral:misc_RNA from 1 species